rnacentral:rRNA from 1 species
UACGUAGGGCGCAAGCGUUGUCCGGAAUUACUGGGCGUAAAGGGUGCGUAGGCGGCUUUGCAAGUCAGAUGUGAAAUCCCCGGGCUUAACUCGGGGGGUGCAUUUGAAACUGCAGGGCUUGAGUGCAGGAGAGGAAAGCGGAAUUCCUAGUGUAGCGGUGAAAUGCGUAGAUAUUAGGAGGAACACCAGUGGCGAAGGCGGCUUUCUGGACUGUAACUGACGCUGAGGCACGAAAGCGUGGGGAGCAAACAGG